rnacentral:rRNA from 1 species
UAACGCGUAUGCAACCUACCCUUUACUGGAGGAUAGCCCGGGGAAACUCGGAUUAAUACUUCAUAGUACUAUAGAUUGGCAUCAUGAAAUAGUUAAAGAUUUAUUGGUAAAGGAUGGGCAUGCGUACCAUUAGUUAGUUGGUGAGGUAAUGGCUCACCAAGACGAUGAUGGUUAGGGGGCCUGAGAGGGUGAUCCCCCACACUGGUACUGAGAUACGGACCAGACUCC